UACGUAGGGCGCAAGCGUUAUCCGGAAUUAUUGGGCGUAAAGAGCUCGUAGGCGGUUGUCGCGUCUGCCGUGAAAGUCCGGGGCUCAACUCCGGAUCUGCGGUGGGUACGGGCAGACUAGAGUGAUGUAGGGGAGACUGGAAUUCCUGGUGUAGCGGUGAAAUGCGCAGAGUAUCAGGAGGAACACCAAUAGCGAAGGCAGCUCGCUGGGACGGUACUGACGCUAAGGCGCGAAAGCGUGGGGAGCAACAGG
rnacentral:rRNA from 1 species